AGUAAAUAGAUACCCAGGUAGUCCACGCCGUAAACGAUGAGUGCUAAGUGUUGGGGGGUUUCCGCCCCUCAGUGCUGCAGCUAAACGCAUUAAGCACUCCGCCUGGGGAGUACGGUCGCAAGACUGAAACUCAAAGGAAUUGACGGGGGCCCGCACAAGCGGUGGAGCAUGUGGUUUAAUUCGAAGCAACGCGAAGAACCUUACCAGGUCUUGACAUCCCGGUGACCACUAUGGAGACAUAGUUUCCCCUUCGGGGGCAACGGUGACAGGUGGUGCAUGGUUGUCGUCAGCUCGUGUCGUGAGAUGUUGGGUUAAGUCCCGCAACGAGCGCAACCCUUAUUCUUAGUUGCCAUCAUUCAGUUGGGCACUCUAAGGAGACUGCCGGUGAUAAACCGGAGGAAGGUGGGGAUGACGUCAAAUCAUCAUGCCCCUUAUGACCUGGGCUACACACGUGCUACAAUGGACGGUACAAACGGUUGCCAACCCGCGAGGGGAGCUAAUCCGAUAAAACCGUUCUCAGUUCGGAUUGUAGGCUGCAACUCGCCUAC
rnacentral:rRNA from 1 species